rnacentral:lncRNA from 1 species
GAAGUGUAUGGAAUUUUGCCAGACUCCUACAAGUUGCAACCACAUGAGCUAGUCAUUGCCCACUGGUGGGUAUUGAUUAACUGUCCAGAAGUUGAAUACUCGAAAGACAUCCAUCUAUAUUGUCCAGACAUUCAAGGUGAUCUCGAGUACCACAACAGGGAGUUCGCAGAUUAUUUUGGCGGCUGGGUACGUAAUUUAAUUUUUCUGUACGUGUUUAUGUUUAUUGCAUAAUUAUCCAUAUUUACAGUUGAAUGGUUGGUUGCAGAUGAACCAUAUUCAAUUUGAUGGUCACCCAAAUUGGUCGCACGAACUAAGACUUCUAGCGAUGAAGCCGAUAAUGUCAAGAGUUUAUCCGAUGUGCAAGGUGAAUGGCGUGCAAUUUAUAUGCGAACAAAGAGACAGCAGAAGGAGAACACAGAAUUCUGGGGUCAUGGAACAUGGUGGGCGAAAUGGAGUUGACUAUUACGGUGUUCUCCAUUCAGUGGUGGAACUCGUUUAUGGGCAAGGCAUGACAGUGCACCUCUUCAAGUGUAGAUGGUUUGAUACUAGGCCGCGGAGCAUGAAGACCGAUCAGUACGGAAUAUUAUCGGUGAACACUGCUACAAGUUCUUACGAAGAUGACCCGUUCGUUUUUGCCACAUCGGUAAAACAAGUGUUUUAUUUUGAUGACCUUGCUAAGGGUGACGCGUGGAAAGUAGUCAACCUUGUGCACCCUCGAAACAUUUACCGGGCGGCUACACUUGGAGAGGCCGAAGAUGAGGAAGAGGAUGUUGCGUAUCAAGAGCCCAACGCAAUAGGUAUUCCUAACUCCUCUACCGUUCGCCUUAAUAAUUUUAAAGCGGGUCGUUCGAUGCGAAUUCGUGAUGAAGAGCCAAGGCUUAUUGAUGUUGAUCCAAAUCAAGAAACAGACGAAGACUCUGGCGAUGAGGAAAGACAUAUAUUACCAGAAAUUAAUUCUGACACCGAAGAAGACUCAUCGGAUGAUUCCGAUUACGAGCCUUAGUUUUAAUUUAGAGGACGUAAUCCAUUAAUUCGUAUAACUAAAGACCUUUUCCUUUAUAGUUUACAUAUGUUGAAUUCAUAUUUCAGUUAUUUUAUAUGAAUUUUGGUGAUACAUGAUGAACAGGAAGUUAGUAUGGUUUACUAAUACUCUAACCUAUUUCGUCGGCUAAAACCGUCUUAGCCGACGAAUUAUAGUGUAUUUCAUUGGCUAAUAAAGUUUUAGCCGACGAAUAACCUAAUAUUUCGUCGGCUUUAGUUAUUUUUUAAUUUUUUAAUUACAUACUAUAGCCGACGAAUACGUUAGGGUAUUCGUCGGCUAAACCCUAAAAUUUUUCUAUUACCUACUAUAGCCCUAUCUUCGGUAGUUAUUUUCCGUAAAAUUUUUAGACGACUUCUUGCGUCUCAUCAGUUUGAAACUAUUUUCAGUUGGAGGUCCGGCCAAAAUACGUAAUUUAGACGGUCGAACGACCUUUUCCGUGCGUUUAGGGGUUUGACUUACGAGAUUGACCGUCCGGAUCGAGCCCUUAUUCUUUUCGGAUCAAGUUGAAUUUUUUCCCAUACAUGUAUUUUGUCAGGAUGGUUAGAUUUGACGGUCGGAUUUCUGUUUCUCAAGUUUGAUCAUCACAAUCACAACAUGCAUAUUAAUGUUGUAUAACUUGUUUACCAAGUGUUAUGUAAAUGUUCCAUUUCAAAAACAAACUAUACGUAAAACCUUCAACGGCUAAAAAGUCAUGAAAUAAGAUAUGAUGAGAAUGUUGAAAUACAUCCACGGUUGAAAAAUCACACUAUUCCGGUAAAUAUUCGGUGCCGAUAGUUGCGGUCAAUGCAAUUUUUCAUUCUUUCCCCCUAUGAGUAGCCCUAUAUUCGGUGGUUAUUUUGCGUAAAAUUUUUAUACGACUUGUUGCGUGUCAUCGAUUUAAAACUAUUUUCAGUUGGAGGUCCGGCCAAAAUACGUAAUUUAGACGGUCGAACAACCUUUUCCGUGCGUUUAGGGGUUUGACUUACGAGAUUGACCGUCCGGAUCGAGCCCUUAUUCUUGUCGGAUCAAGUUGAAUUUUUUCCCAUACAUGUAUUUUGUCAUGAUGGUCAGAUCUGACGGUCGGAUUUAUUUUUCUCAUGUUUGAUCAUCACAAUCACAAUGUGCCAAAUGUAUAAAAAUACUUUUAGCCGACGAAUUUCAAAGGUUAGCCGACGAAUUUUAAAGGUUUAGUCGACGAAUUUAUAAAGUUUAGCUGACGAAUUUCAAAGUUUUAGCCGACGAAUUUAGAAGGUUUAGCCGACGAAUUGAUGUAUAGCUGACGAAAUUCUUAGCUUUAGCCAACGAAAUAAUUAUUUCGUCGGCUAAAGUUUUCGGGUUUACCUGCGAAACCCUAGCCUCCUCCCUCCUCCCUUCUAAUUAUCCCUCUCCCGUCUCCGCCUCCUUCCUCCUCCCUCCCUCCCUCUCCCGGUCCCGGUCUCCUCCCUC